CGCGCGUAGGUGGUUAAUUAAGUCAAAUGUGAAAUCCCCGAGCUUAACUUGGGAAUUGCAUUCGAUACUGGUUAGCUAGAGUAUGGGAGAGGAUGGUAGAAUUCCAGGUGUAGCGGUGAAAUGCGUAGAGAUCUGGAGGAAUACCGAUGGCGAAGGCAGCCAUCUGGCCUAAUACUGACACUGAGGUGCGAAAGCAUGGGGAGCAAACAGGAUUAGAUACCCUGGUAGUCCAUGCCGUAAACGAUGUCUACUAGCCGUUGGGGGAUUUGAUCCUUUAGUGGCGCAGCUAACGCGAUAAGUAGACCGCCUGGGGAGUACGGUCGCAAGACUAAAACUCAAAUGAAUUGACGGGGGCCCGCACAAGCGGUGGAGCAUGUGGUUUAAUUCGAUGCAACGCGAAGAACCUUACCUGGCCUUGACAUAGUAGAGACUUUCCAGAGAUGGAUUGGUGCCUUCGGGAAUCUACAUACAGGUGCUGCAUGGCUGUCGUCAGCUCGUGUCGUGAGAUGUUGGGUUAAGUCCCGCAACGAGCGCAACCCUUUUCCUUACUUGCCAGCAUUUCGGAUGGGAACUUUAAGGAUACUGCCAGUGACAAACUGGAGGAAGGCGGGGACGACGUCAAGUCAUCAUGGCCCUUACGGCCAGGGCUACACACGUGCUACAAUGGUCGGUACAAAGGGUUGCUACACAGCGAUGUGAUGCUAAUCUCAAAAAGCCGAUCGUAGUCCGGAUCGCAGUCUGCAACUCGACUGCGUGAAGUCGGAAUCGCUAGUAAUCGCGGAUCAGAAUGCCGCGGUGAAUACGUUCCCGGGCCUUGCACACACCGCCCGUC
rnacentral:rRNA from 1 species